rnacentral:lncRNA from 1 species
UUCAUGAUCAAAUUCUUCUUCAUAUAUAGACUUGGUGCAAUAAGCUUAAUAGACAUAGCCCUUGACAAACAUUCCCUUCUUGGCUUCAUCGGAUUCACCCUCACCAGUGUACUUCCCGAGCUGAGCAAGGGAGUUGGCCUUGGCUCGAACCAGCAGAGUAUCUUGUGCUGCCUUGACGUUCUCGGGGCGUCCUCCCCACGUCUUCAAGCAUGUGUUCUGGAGGGCCCGGGCAUAGGAGAACGAUACGUGCCAUGGGUUAGGGGCUUGGUUCAUGGCAUUCAAAUUCAAGGUUGCUUCUACUUCAGAUUGCCCACCAGACAAGAACUGCUCAAAUCAAACAAUUGACUCUGUUAGUCUAUACAUAAGAUCACAUGAAGACAUUAUUUGUUGAAGAAUCCAUCUAGCUUAGAAUUAACCGAUGUUGCUGCUGAAGCGUCAUACUAGGAAGCAUGUUUGGCAAGCUUAAAAUUACUUAUUUUGAGGGUAACUCUUACAUUAGUGUCAAAAUAAAAGUAAUUCACUUAUUUUCAACUUCGUCCCAAAAAAAAAUCAACUCAUUGCAAAACUUAUUUACUUAUAGGUAAACUUCUUAAGCUUUAGCCAAAAAUGCUUAGGUUCCAUAUCGACUCUUUGUUUGAUUCUCUCUCUUCUCUUUAAUCAUUAAAGGAAAACUAUCGAUAUAAGCUUUAAGUACGAAAAUUAAGACCAGGAUACUUGCCAUGAUUCCAGGGACAGCUGGGGGAAUCCUCCUGUGGAGAAGCUUGAGAGUGUAAUCAGCAACUUGCUCGGGGGUUGCCUUCUCCUUGCAUUCGGCUCCAGGAGUAACCAUGCUCGGCUUGAGAAGAAUACCCUCGAACAGAACAUUGUUCUCGGCCAAAUAGAAGAAAACCUCAGCCCAAACCUUUAGGGCAACUUCGAAAGUCCUGUCUAUGCCAUGUUCACCAUCAAGCAAGAUUUCUGGCUCAACAAUCGGGACCAAUCCGUUGUCCUGAAUAAUAAAUAAACAUUAGAUUUAACAAUAUUUGUCUGCACUAAACAGUGUUUAGAAAGAAAAAUAAGCUAAAAUUUUAUUUAUAUCAGCAUUAGUGUUUUGUAUGUAGAAAAGUUGUGCUUUAAACUCGAUACAUACUUGAGCAAUGGCAGCAUAUCGAGCCAAGCCCCAAGCGGCCUCCUUCACGGCCAAGGCAGAUGGACCAUUUGGAAUGCUCACAACGGUACGCCUAAAAGAUGAAGCAUAGGUAGAUGAUAUCAGUAUGGGCAUUUCAAAAUUUAGGACAUGAAAAUUGUGACACCGUGCUGUUAAGAACAAGGAAAUGGACUCAAAAAUCGUGAUCCAGGCCUACCAUUUGGCAAAACGAGCACCCUGUUGGUAGUAAGCAGCGGUCCGGGAAGCAAGGCCAUCGAGUCCUUGGCACCAGGACUCAUCAUUUGAACCAGCAAGGGGAACCAAACCCUGCUCCGAUCCAAAUUAGCAUAUCUUUAGUAUCAUCGAAUCUUGUUUUAAAAGUUUUUAAAUUUUCCCCAAAUUUGUGCAUUACCUUGUCGACUUUGAUACCGGGGACAAUGUUUUGCUUGACGAGGACAUCAACCAUCUUUUUGCCAUCGGUGGUCGAUUGGUAGAGAGUCUCUUCAAAGAGGAUGGCACCAGAGAUGUACUGGCCGAGGCCGGGGGCUGUCACGAGGAGGGUACGGUAAGCUUGGCGAUUAGCCUCGGUGUUCUCAAGCCCAAUCGAAGCAAGACGCUUUCCACAGGUAGCAUUUGAUUCAUCCAUGGCCAAAAUUCCACGGCCAGGUGAUGCAACAGUUUUCUGCAUUAUUCAUUCUCCACUGUUAAUCAACUAGUUUUACACCUCUAAAUUCAUCCCUCUUUCUCUGCCUUAGUAUGCUCUAUUGUGUUCAAAAUCAUAGUUCGUUGUUCAAAAAACAUGUUUUAAGAUUCACUAUUUCUUGCAAAUACCAAUUGAAGUCUUUCGGGAAAUGAAAAUAUGGGCCGAAGAAUGAAUGCUUUCUAUUUGUAGCUUAUAGUAUUUGACGCCGAUUGCAACAAGUUAACAAUAAAAGAAAUUAGACACAUACCGCAGUCUUAACAAGCUCAUCGGCAUAGGAUGAUGCUCGUAUUGUGAGCGAAGUCACCGCAUUCGGGUGGCACCGGACGACGGAGACGGAGGGUUGGCGAAGGGACUGACCCUUAACAAACUCAGCCUUAUCAAGAACAGGAGAUGACUUGAUGAGCGAUGCUGAGGCCAUUGCUAUAUUUUUGCUGCUAAAAUUUGACACACAAAUGGCAAUUUACAAAAUCUUAUCUCUUU